rnacentral:lncRNA from 1 species
AGGUUCAAAUAUAUCCUUGUACUAUUCAAAAUAGGUCAUAUUUAUCCUCCGUUUGAAUUCUUUAACAAAUAUAUCCCCACCGUUAUACAUUAGGGCCACAUAUACCCUUCCACCGCUAAAACUUGUUUCCACAUUAUUUUUUAACACGUGGCAGUCUUAGAUUGGACCAGAUUAGCCUACCCAUUCUAUUUUUUAAACUCGCCCGACCC